AUCUAGACGCUUUUUCAUUAAUCUAGACGCACUUUCAUUUAUCUAAACGCACUUUCAUUAAUCUAGACGCACUUUCAUUUAUCUGAAUUUACUUCCGAUGGUAGAUAGUGGCCUACCAUGGUUGCAACGGUAACGGGGAAUGAGGGUUCGGUUCCGGAGAGGGAGCCUGAGAAACGGCUACCACAUCCAAGAAGGCAGCAGGCGCGCUAAUUACCGACACGGGGAGGUGACAAUAAAUAACAAUACAGGGCCUUUUGGUCUUGUAAUUGGAAUGAGUCAAUGUAGGUACCUUAACGAGGAACAAUUGGGAGCAAGUGCAAGUCUGGUGCCAGCAGCCGCGGUAAUUCCAGCUCCAAAUACGUAUUAAAGUUGGUGCAGUUAAAAAGCUCGUAGUUGAAGUUUGACUGCUCUUCGUUGCAGCGAUGGACUGGCUGCGGCCCGGAUACUUUAAGUAAAAAAAAGUGUUCAAAGCAGGUUAUUGCCUGAAUUCUCUAGCACGGAGUAAAAUAAGACGAUGGUAUUUUGUUGGUUUCUAGACCAAUCGUAAUGAUUAAUAGGGAUUCGGAGGCAUUAGUAUUCAGUAGUCCGAGGUGAAAUUCUUAGAUUUACUGAAGACUAACUACUGCGAAAGCAUUUGCCGUUUUCAUUGAUCAGAACGAAAGUUAGGACCGAAGAUGACCAGAUACCGUCGUAGUUAACCAUAAACUAUGCCGACUAAUCGGGUUGAUCUUAAUAGACGCACUCGGCACCUUACGAGAAACAAAGUUUUGGGUUCUAGGUCCAGACAAUAAGGAUUGACAGAUUGAGGCCCAGACAAUAAUGAUUGACAGAUUGAGGCCCAGACAAUAAGAAUUGACAGAUUGAGAGCUCUUUCUGAUUUGUGGGUGGUGCAUGGCCUCUUUCUGAUUUUUGGGUGGUGCAUGGCCGUUCUUAGUUGGUGGAGUGAUUUCUCUGCUAAUUGCGAUAACGAACGAGACCUUAACCUCUGAAUAGCGCCACUAGCAUUUUGCUGGGCUUCUUAGAGGGACUACUGACUUGAAGUCGAUGGAGGUUUGAGGCAAUAACUGUCUGUGAUGCCCUUAGACGUUCUGGGCCACACGUGCCCUACACUGACGGAGCCAGCGAGAGGUCGGGGAAAUCUUGACAAACUCCGUCGUGCUGGAGAUAGAGCAUUGUAUUUUUGCUCUUAACGAGGAAUUCCUAGUAAGCGCAAGUCAUCAGCUUGCGUUGAUCCGUCCCUGCCCUUUACACACCGCCCGUCGCUACUACCGAUUGAAUGGCUUGGUGAGGAUUCUGGAGCGCCAGAGGCGACUGGCGCGAAACUAUUCAAACUUGGCCAUUAGAGGAAGUGAAACUUUUAUACAAGAUGUUGGCGUGUACUGCAUACAGC
rnacentral:rRNA from 1 species